UUGUAGCAAUAAGCCAAACGCACCAGUGAUCAACAACAACAAAGGUGUUUUGUCAACGGAAACACUAACGGAGAACCGAUAGUCAGCGGCAAAGCUUGUGAAUCGUGUAAUACUACAACCUCAUCUCAGUGGUUCGCCUGGGGCCAUCUCACAUGCAGUGCAAGGUCUGUCUCAUAACUGCUGAGCAGUACUGGAAAAAGUAUGGUGGCCUCAAAGGUGCCCUCAAGAAUAGGUGAUUCUGAAAUGGAUGUGGCAAAGAAAAAAUCUGGAAAGCAUAUCGGAUGAAGAUGUAUCUCUAUUUCCAGAAGCGGACACCCUCUAGUAUGACUUCGCACAGACCUCACAGAAUUGCAGUAUUAUUGGAUAUUGUGCC